UACGUGGGGUGCAAGCGUUGUCCGGAAUUAUUGGGCGUAAAGAGCUCGUAGGCGGUUAGUCGCGUCUGCUGUGAAAACUCGGGGCUUAACUCCGGGCCUGCAGUGGGUACAGGCUGACUAGAGUGCGGUAGGGGAGACUGGAAUUCCUGGUGUAGCGGUGAAAUGCGCAGAUAUCAGGAGGAACACCGGUGGCGAAGGCGGGUCUCUGGGCCGUAACUGACGCUGAGGAGCGAAAGCGUGGGGAGCGAACAGG
rnacentral:rRNA from 1 species